rnacentral:rRNA from 1 species
ACAUGUGGAGCGCUUAGAAGUGAGAAUGCCGGUGUGAGUAGCGAAAGACGGGUGAGAAUCCCGUCCACCGAUUGACUAAGGUUUCCAGAGGAAGGCUCGUCCGCUCUGGGUUAGUCGGGUCCUAAGCUGAGGCCGACAGGCGUAGGCGAUGGAUAACAGGUUGAUAUUCCUGUACCACCUAUAAUCGUUUUAAUCGAUGGGGGGACGCAGUAGGAUAGGCGAAGCGUGCGAUUGGAUUGCACGUCUAAGCAGUAAGGCUGAGUAUUAGGCAAAUCCGGUACUCGUUAAGGCUGAGCUGUGAUGGGGAGAAGACAUUGUGUCUUCGAGUCGUUGAUUUCACACUGCCGAGAAAAGCCUCUAGAUAGAAAAUAGGUGCCCGUACCGCAAACCGACACAGGUAGUCAAGAUGAGAAUUCUAAGGUGAGCGAGCGAACUCUCGUUAAGGAACUCGGCAAAAUGACCCCGUAACUUCGGGAGAAGGGGUGCUCUUUAGGGUUAACGCCCAGAAGAGCCGCAGUGAAUAGGCCCAAGCGACUGUUUAUCAAAAACACAGGUCUCUGCUAAACCGUAAGGUGAUGUAUAGGGGCUGACGCCUGCCCGGUGCUGGAAGGUUAAGAGGAGUGGUUAGCUUCUGCGAAGCUACGAAUCGAAGCCCCAGUAAACGGCGGCCGUAACUAUAACGGUCCUAAGGUAGCGAAAUUCCUUGUCGGGUAAGUUCCGACCCGCACGAAAGGCGUAACGAUU